CACAAGGUCCUGGACCAUAUUACUACCCCAAAUAGCUUACUACUGUAGCCUACUGUCUUAUCUGGCUGAGGCAGAUUAAGAUGAGCGUACUGACAGUGGCUUUGGUCUUCGUGCAACUCUGAGUUCAACAGUUCCCAGAAGCUGCUGAUUCCUUUCCACUGAUUAGCCCAUAAGGCACACAGAGAUGACAAAUAUCAUGUGACGAACCUACACGAAGCUAAAAGGGGAAGUUUGCAAAAAUGUGCUGGAAUCCUCAGGCUGGAAGAAGCAGAACUAUGAAGAGGAGUUGACAACUGGGAAUCCACACCUGAAGA
rnacentral:lncRNA from 1 species